rfam:Gossypium raimondii Chr04_contig_1263, whole genome shotgun sequence.
AAUAGUUUUAUGCCACAUAAGCAUUUUCAUCUUGAAUUUUAGUAUUUUUCAUCUUGAAAAAAUCAAAUCUAAAUUAAAAUCCUGAAAUUCAGGAUGAAAUCACUGAUGCGUAAAACUAUU